rnacentral:rRNA from 1 species
GAUCCUGGCUCAGGAUGAACGCUGGCGGCGUGCUUAACACAUGCAAGUCGAACGGAACUACUUUAAUGAGAUUCUUCGGAAAGGAUUUGAUUUAGUUUAGUGGCGGACGGGUGAGUAACGCGUGGGUAACCUGCCUCAUACAGGGGGAUAACAGUUGGAAACGGCUGUUAAUACCGCAUAAGCGCACAGUACCGCAUGGUAUGGUGUGAAAAAACUCCGGUGGUAUGAGAUGGACCCGCGUCUGAUUAG